ACAUAAAAAAGUAACCAAGCUGGUUUGUGGUGACUUUUCCUGGAACGCUACCAAGUCGUGAGUCGUGACUUGAAGUCGUAACUUACGGGAUAAAAACUGUGUCUUGAACGCAGCAUAAGAAUCAGAG